GGGGGUAUAGCUCAGUGGUAAAGCAUAUGUAUGCUUGGCAUGCACAAGGUCCUGGGUUCAAUCCCCAGUACCUCCA
rnacentral:tRNA from 1 species